GUUCUCAGAGCACAGAGGAUCUUAGGGCAAUGAAGCUAUUCUGGGUGAUACUACAAUGCAUCUGGCCCUGAGACAGGGAGCCCUGCACAAGCCAAGAGAGGAGGUUUCCUCCUCCGCCCACGACGUACAUUUCCUGCUUGGAGAGUGGAGAGAGAGAGAGUGAGAGAGAGAACACAAGCAAGGGGAAGUGCAGGGCUCGAUCUCAGGACCCUGGGAUCAAGUGACUGGAGCUGAAGGCAGGUACGGAAUCACU